UGGCGGCUGCUUUACACAUGCAAGUCUGAACUGUAACAGGGAGCUUGCUCCGCUGACGAGUGGCGAACGGGUGAGUAAUAUAUCGGAACGUACCCAAGAGUGGGGGAUAACGUAGCGAAAGUUACGCUAAUACCGCAUACGAUCCAAGGAUGAAAGCAGGGGACCGCAAGGCCUUGUGCUCCUGGAGCGGCCGAUAUCUGAUUAGCUAGUUGGUAGGGUAAAGGCCUACCAAGGCAUCGAUCAGUAGCUGGUCUGAGAGGACGACCAGCCACACUGGAACUGAGACACGGUCCAGACUCCUACGGGAGGCAGCAGUGGGGAAUUUUGGACAAUGGGCGCAAGCCUGAUCCAGCAAUGCCGCGUGAGUGAAGAAGGCCUUCGGGUUGUAAAGCUCUUUUGUCAGGGAAGAAACGGGUGCGGCUAAUAUCUGCAUCUAAUGACGGUACCUGAAGAAUAAGCACCGGCUAACUACGUGCCAGCAGCCGCGGUAAUACGUAGGGUGCAAGCGUUAAUCGGAAUUACUGGGCGUAAAGCGUGCGCAGGCGGUUUUGUAAGUCUGUUGUGAAAUCCCCGGGCUUAACCUGGGAAUGGCAAUGGAGACUGCAAGGCUAGAGUUUGGCAGAGGGGGGUAGAAUUCCACGUGUAGCAGUGAAAUGCGUAGAGAUGUGGAGGAACACCGAUGGCGAAGGCAGCCCCCUGGGUCAAGACUGACGCUCAUGCACGAAAGCGUGGGGAGCAAACAGGAUUAGAUACCCUGGUAGUCCACGCCCUAAACGAUGUCUACUAGUUGUCGGGUCUUAAUUGACUUGGUAACGCAGCUAACGCGUGAAGUAGACCGCCUGGGGAGUACGGUCGCAAGAUUAAAACUCAAAGGAAUUGACGGGGACCCGCACAAGCGGUGGAUGAUGUGGAUUAAUUCGAUGCAACGCGAAAAACCUUACCUACCCUUGACAUGUACGGAAGCCACGAGAGAUCGAGGUGUGCUCGAAAGAGAACCGUAACACAGGUGCUGCAUGGCUGUCGUCAGCUCGUGUCGUGAGAUGUUGGGUUAAGUCCCGCAACGAGCGCAACCCUUGUCAUUAGUUGCUACGAAAGAGCACUCUAAUGAGACUGCCGGUGACAAACCGGAGGAAGGUGGGGAUGACGUCAAGUCCUCAUGGCCCUUAUGGGUAGGGCUUCACACGUCAUACAAUGGUACA
rnacentral:rRNA from 1 species